rnacentral:rRNA from 1 species
UACGUAGGGUGCGAGCGUUAAUCGGAAUUACUGGGCGUAAAGCGUGCGAAGGCGGUGAUGGAAGGCAGGGGUGAAAUCCCCGGGCUUAACCUGGGAACUGCAUUUGUGACUGCAUCGCUGGAGUGCGGCAGAGGGGGAUGGAAUUCCGCGUGUAGCAGUGAAAUGCGUAGAUAUGCGGAGGAACACCGAUGGCGAAGGCAAUCCCCUGGGCCUGCACUGACGCUCAUGCACGAAAGCGUGGGGAGCAAACAGG